CCUGUGAUGACCCUUUGGAGGUCUCAAAGAGGGUGACGUUCUACUGUCUUGGUAGAAGACCUCCCAGAAGGCACCACCUCCUGCAUCAGAGUCGAGAGCCCUGUCUUUUGAUUGACUUCAGAAUCACAGCGUGAGCUAUCUCUUCCCUUUCGUCGCAUCCUUCAUGAUUUCACAGACAUCUGCUCUGGACAUACAUCAACCAGUUCUCCUUGGGGACACCCAGAAAUCAGCACCCAGGAAAGCCGGGAAUCCUCUGCCUGACCUCAUCCCUGGGCAAUCGGGGACAGGAAAACACCUGGAGUGUAUUUGUCAAGAACAGCCUUUACUAAGAGGGACAGGGGAAAAUAUCACAACCUAUAUCUAUGGAACAAUAUGUUGUUAUCCACCUACUGCUGACAGAGCCAGGGCACGAUGCUGGAGCCCCAUCAUGCCAGUGGUCUGGACCUUGUAGUAAUGAAGGUGUUGGAAGAUGUUCCCACACCUGAACAGGAUGCAAGGCAGAUGCCAAACAUGGUCCCUCUUGGUGCCGUUCCCAUGGGAAGGACCUAGAGACAGUGGAUUCCAGGGUGAGAUGGGACAUAUAUGACUGUUGCCUGAUGCCAGCUGUGGGAGAUGGGUGCUGGGGCUCUCCAGAGGGCUCCCAGGAAUAGUUUGGGCCUGUGAAGCUACCCGGCUUCCCCACUCAGGUCACUGAUGAAGAAACUGAACAAAUCUGGCCCCAGGACCGACCCCUGGGGGACUCCCCUUGAUACCAGCUGCCAGCUGAGCCACUAAUGACUGCCCUUCAUGUCUGAUGAUCCAGCCUGUGACUUCCAGUGCUCUACGGCCUAUGCAGCUUCUUCUGUCUCCUUGGUCUUCUCUAUAGUCUGUUCGGCUAUUCUGGUUGCAUGCUGUCUCCAUCACCUACCAGCUGUGCCCAGAGCUUCUGAAACUACAUUUUCUACUCUUGUUACUGUUCUUCAGCUCUGCCAGGACCCUGCAGAUUCCCAUCCAAGUCCCCCGCACUUCUUCCUGAAACCUGUACGAACUGCCUUUUUCUAUUA